rnacentral:rRNA from 1 species
GACAGAGGGUGCAAACGUUGUUCGGAUUUACUGGGCGUAAAGCGCGCGUAGGUGGUUCGUUAAGUUGGAUGUGAAAUCCCCGGGCUCAACCUGGGAACUGCAUCCAAAACUGGCGAGCUAGAGUAUGGUAGAGGGUGGUGGAAUUUCCUGUGUAGCGGUGAAAUGCGUAGAUAUAGGAAGGAACACCAGUGGCGAAGGCGACCACCUGGACUGAUACUGACACUGAGGUGCGAAAGCGUGGGGAGCAAACAGG